GAUGAACGCUGGCGGCGUGCCUAAUACAUGCAAGUCGAGCGAACGGACGAGAAGCUUGCUUCUCUGAUGUUAGCGGCGGACGGGUGAGUAACACGUGGAUAACCUACCUAUAAGACUGGGAUAACUUCGGGAAACCGGAGCUAAUACCGGAUAAUAUUUUGAACCGCAUGGUUCAAAAGUGAAAGACGGUCUUGCUGUCACUUAUAGAUGGAUCCGCGCUGCAUUAGCUAGUUGGUAAGGUAACGGCUUACCAAGGCAACGAUGCAUAGCCGACCUGAGAGGGUGAUCGGCCACACGGGAACUGAGACACAGUCCAGACUCCUACGGGAGGCAGCAGUAGGGAAUCUUCCGCAAUGGGCGAAAGCCUGACGGGGCAACGCCGCGUGAGUGAUGAAGGUCUUCGGAUCGUAAAACUCUGUUAUUAGGGAAGAACAUAUGUGUAAGUAACUGUGCACAUCUUGACGGUACCUAAUCAGAAAGCCACGGCUAACUACGUG
rnacentral:rRNA from 1 species